GACGAACGCUGGCGGCGUGCUUAACACAUGCAAGUCGAACGGAAAGGCCUUGCUUUUGUGGGGUGCUCGAGUGGCGAACGGGUGAGUAACACGUGAGUAACCUGCCCUUGACUUUGGGAUAACUUCAGGAAACUGGGGCUAAUAUCGGAUAGGAGCUCCUGCUGCAUGGUGGGGGUUGGAAAGUUUCGGCGGUUGGGGAUGGACUCGCGGCUUAUCAGCUUGUUGGUGGGGUAGUGGCUUACCAAGGCUUUGACGGGUAGCCGGCCUGAGAGGGUGACCGGGCACAUUGGGACUGAGAUACGGCCCAGACUCCUACGGGAGGCAGCGGUGGGGAAUAUUGCACAAUGGGCGGGAGCCUGAUGCAGCAACGCCGCGUGCGGGAUGACGGCCUUCGGGUUGUAAACCGCUUUCGCCUGUGACGAAGCGUGAGUGACGGUAAUGGGUGAAGAAGCACCGGCUAACUACGUG
rnacentral:rRNA from 1 species